GAUCCGCUAGCUCAGCAGGUAGAGCACAUCCCUUUUAAGGAUGGGGUCUCGAGUUCGAACCUCGAGCGGAUCACCA
rnacentral:tRNA from 1 species